rnacentral:rRNA from 1 species
GAUUUCUGGCUUGAAACAUUUUGCCGGCCACGGUUUCGUGUGUUAGUGCUUGAUGUUCUGGCCAUCCUUCCAAUCGCUGUCGGCUUAUCUUCAUUGAUCGGUCGGCAGUAUUGGAUCUUUUACUUUGAAAAAAUUAGAGUGUUUCAAGCAGGCUUUAUGCUAUGAAUACAUUAGCAUGGAAUAAUAAUUUAGGACUUCGGUUCUAUUUUGUUGGUUUCUAGGACUGAAGUAAUGAUUGAUAGGGAUAGUUGGGGGUGCUAGUAUUCAGCGGCCAGAGGUGAAAUUCUCGGAUUCGCUGAAGACUAACUUAUGCGAAAGCAUU